rnacentral:rRNA from 1 species
AGAGUGGCGCACGGGUGAGUAACACGUAGGUAAUCUACCUUCGGGUGGGGAAUAACAACCGGAAACGGUUGCUAAUACCGCAUAAUGCAGCGGCACCUAAUGGUGACAGUUGUUAAAGCGGGGGAUCGCAAGAUCUCGCGCCUGAAGAGGAGCCUGCGGCGGAUUAGCUAGUUGGUAGGGUAAUGGCCUACCAAGGCGACGAUCCGUAGCCGGCCUGAAAGGGCGGUCGGCCACACUGACACUGACAUACAGGUCAGACUCCUACGGGAGGCAGCAGUCGGGAAUUUUGGGCAAUGGGCGAAAGCCUGACCCACCAACGCCGCGUGAAGGAUGAAAUCCCUCGGGAUGUAAACUUCACAAGAACGGGAAGAAUAAGUUUGUGCUAAUACCACAAGCGAUGACGGUACUGUUUGUAAGCUCCGGCUAACUCCGUGCCAGCAGCCGCGGUAAUACGGGGGGAGCAAGCGUUGUUCGGAUUUACUGGGCGUAAAGGGCGCGUACGCGGCCUCCGCAAGUCAGUUGUGAAAUCUCCGAGCUUAACUCGGAAAGGUCAACUGAUACUGCGGGGCUAGAGUGCGGAUG